rnacentral:rRNA from 1 species
GAAUUCGCCCUUAGAGUUUGAUCCUGGCUCAGGACGAACGCUGGCGGCGCGCCUAACACAUGCAAGUCGAACGAGAGAGAGGGAGCUUGCUUCCUCAAUCGAGUGGCGAACGGGUGAGUAACGCGUGAGGAACCUGCCUCAAAGAGGGGGACAACAGUUGGAAGCGACUGCUAAUACCGCAUAAGCCCACGGGGUCGGCAUCGACCAGAGGGAAAAGGAGCAAUCCGCUUUGAGAUGGCCUCGCGUCCGAUUAGCUAGUUGGUGAGGUAACGGCCCACCAAGGCAACGAUCGGUAGCCGGACUGAGAGGUUGAACGGCCACAUUGGGACUGAGACACGGCCCAGACUCCUACGGGAGGCAGCAGUGGGGAAUAUUGCACAAUGGGGGAAACCCUGAUGCAGCGACGCCGCGUGGAGGAAGAAGGUCUUCGGAUUGUAAACUCCUGUUGUUGAGGAAGAUAAUGACGGUACUCAACAAGGAAGUGACGGCUAACUACGUGCCAGCAGCCGCGGUAAAACGUAGGUCACAAGCGUUGUCCGGAAUUACUGGGUGUAAAGGGAGCGCAGGCGGGAAGACAAGUUGGAAGUGAAAUCUAUGGGCUCAACCCAUAAACUGCUUUCAAAACUGUUUUUCUUGAGUAGUGCAGAGGUAGGCGGAAUUCCCGGUGUAGCGGUGGAAUGCGUAGAUAUCGGGAGGAACACCAGUGGCGAAGGCGGCCUACUGGGCACCAACUGACGCUGAGGCUCGAAAGUGUGGGUAGCAAACAGGAUUAGAUACCCUGGUAGUCCACACCGUAAACGAUGAUU